rnacentral:rRNA from 1 species
CCUACGGGAGGCAGCAGUGGGGAAUAUUGCGCAAUGGGCGAAAGCCUGACGCAGCGACGCCGCGUGAGGGAUGAAGGUCUUCGGAUCGUAAACCUCUGUCAGCAGGGAAGAACGGUCACUGUGCUAAUCAGCAGUGAAUUGACGGUACCUGCAAAGGAAGCACCGGCUAACUCCGUGCCAGCAGCCGCGGUAAUACGGAGGGUGCGAGCGUUAAUCGGAAUUACUGGGCGUAAAGGGCUCGUAGGCGGUAUGUCAAGUCAAGGGUGAAAUCCCCGCGCUCAACGUGGGAACUGCCUUUGAAACGGGCAAACUGGAGUGUGAGAGAGGAAGGUGGAAUUCCUGGUGUAGGGGUGAAAUGCGUAGAUAUCAGGAGGAACAUCAGUGGCGAAGGCGACUAUCUGGAACGUAACUGACGCUGAGGAGCGAAAGCGUGGGUAGCAAACAGGAUUAGAUACCCCGGUAGUC